rnacentral:rRNA from 1 species
AGUGAACGCUGGCGGUAGGCCUAACACAUGCAAGUCGAACGGCAGCACAGUAAGAGCUUGCUCUUACGGGUGGCGAGUGGCGGACGGUUGAGGAAUACAUCGGAAUCUACUUUUUCGUGGGGGAUAACGUAGGGAAACUUACGCUAAUACCGCAUACGACCUACGGGUGAAAGCAGGGGAUCUUCUGACCUUGCGCGAUUGAAUGAGCCGAUGUCGGAUUAGCUAGUUGGCGGGGUAAAGGCCCACCAAGGCGACGAUCCGUAGCUGGUCUGAGAGGAUGAUCAGCCACACUGGAACUGAGACACGGUCCAGACUCCUACGGGAGGCAGCAGUGGGGAAUAUUGGACAAUGGGCGCAAGCCUGAUCCAGCCAUACCGCGUGGGUGCAGAAGGACUUCUGGUUGUAAAGCCCUUUUGUUGGGAAAGAAAAGCAGCAGGUUAAUCCCCCGCUGUUCUGACGGUACCCAAAGAAUAAGCACCGGCUAACUUCGUG